AAAAAGCCGCGCGCACCAGCUCAUCGUCUAAUAAUGCGUCAUUAUCGCGCCGCCAGGAAAUACAAUCUUCCGUGAAAUCGACAGCUUUAUAGGUGCAAAUAUUCUGUCCGGCGUCAGAUAAGCGACGGCUAAUAAUUAUUACUCAUGCCGGAUUGCGAUUCGAGUCUCUUUUUUAUACCUUUGCAUUUCCCGCGAUUGCACAUCGUCAAUUCGACGAAGGAAGCGAAUUGAACGUAUACUGACAUGUUGCCUCAAAGGACAAAAUUAAGCGGCUCUUCAAGAAAACCUUGGUGAGAAAAUAUAGACUUAUUAAUUUAAAGGAGAGACAUACAGAUACGAAGGUUUUCUCCUCCUCCUGCUGCUCAUGAGAAACUUUAUGGUAGUUAAUUAUUUUGAUUUUAUAUUGCAUUGUAUGAGUUUGCAGAAAGCAUUUAGCAGCUAUAUGAUUUCUCUUCUAAAUUAAUAAGAUCUACCUUUUCGUGGAUUGCUGAAGAGUCGAUUUUUUUAAAUUUAUAAAUUAUUAAUUAAUAUAAUUUAUAUUUCUACACUUUAUGAUAAUCAGUUAGAUUUAUCGCAGAAGAUAACUAAUAUAUAUUGGGAAUUUAUUAUAUCAAUGAUUCAAUUCGUCUCAUAUUCCUUUACUUAUAAUGCUCAAUUAUCUCAUAUCUCGCAAUCUCUCAUUGAAGCGUACAUACGAAAUAACAAUCGAGAUCAAACGCGGGAUUCGCUAAUUACAAAUCAGUCGCUCUCACACGGAGUUAUACGUUAUCUCGCUUUCGUGCGGAUUCACCGAGGAUUAAAGUUUAAUUGAAGUCGAAAAUAAUUACAAAUAUUAAUUUUUACAUAUAUUUUAAGUGACAUUUCCUAUUGCAUAUGUUGAAAAUUGUCAUGUGAAUUACAUGUGAUGAAAAUUUCAUAUGAAUUGCAUAUGUGAAAAUUUUAUCCAUCGCAUCAGAGAAGGUAAUAACUAUUAAAAUUAUAAGAGUCUACCAAAUUAUUACCUCAAUAAAGCUGCAAUAAAAAAAA